rnacentral:lncRNA from 1 species
UGGGCUUUUGAACCUUCUCUUGGGCAUAGUUCAACGAGGUGGGCCUCUUAAUCCCACUAUGGAAUGCAAAGGGAAUGAGUUCAUNNNNNNNNNNNNNNNNACAAAUAAUCGAAAAUAAUUGGGAAUGAUAGGACACACAUAUCAUCUCACAUAAUAGGCGCAAUCAAGGUAGAAGAAUUAAAGUAACUAACAUGGGAUCAAUAUAAUGAAGGAAAAGGAUACGGGGAACCCAAUACCUAACCGAUUGAGGACAUAUUAUGACAUGGAUUUUUAAUAAUUAAAAGUUGAUUAGUGAAUACCGAGAUAUGCUCAUAAAGGCAAAACAGUAGCAUGGACGACUAGCGAAUUUCCAAGCAGUAACGGAAAGAGAAGUUGAAUUAAUUUCUAAACUAAAACUUAAGGGGAUAUCAACAGGGCUAGAGGAAAACAACCUAUCGGAAUGUAAAUUGAGCUUUAAUGAACUCCUUGCGGCAUAUAAAAUCAUAGGUUGAUUAGGGCAGUUAUUACGUGAUAACCAAACAAAGCAAGCAGGGACGGGAAAUCACUUGGGGAUCCUAGAUGCACUAAAAGGAGACACCGGCAGUAGACUCUCAAAAAUGAAAGUAGAUAACUGUAAUACUCUACUACACAUCUCAACCUCUCUUUCGAGAGUAAAAGGGGCUAUGACUUCAUCCCUUCUUUCUUGACCAAGAAAAAUCAUCGGGAAUCUUUAGUCUAAACACAAAUUGCAUACAUAAUGUAACAACAGAAUUGAAACAUCCUUUUCGAACAGGAAUACUUAAGUGUUUAGCAAAUCAACAGGGAAACAUCGCAUUUAUCAUUCUAACAAAAGGAAAAAUCUAACUGGAUAAAAGUCUAAAGGAAGAACGGAAAAUAAAUUUCAAAUUUUGAUACCAAAACAGGUGCACCUGUCAAAUUAAAGCAAGGGAGGGGCAGGGGUAUUGUUCUCACCUCCAUCCUCUUUUCAAUGAAUUCUAAAAUACAAUAUUUUAACAAUCAAAACGGUCAUCAGAGAAUUAUAUUUCUGGUAUGACUUUGGACAUAUCUCAUUAUUCCUUUUGGCAUUGGAAAGCUAGAGGAGCUCUUGAGGCAGUCCUUCAGGUAGUGUUACCAGUUAAACAGAAAACAACAAUCUGAGACUGUCAUACAGUAAUGACAAACAAGUCAACACAUCAUUACGGUCCUCCCUCUAGUUCGAACGACAUGGCUAUCGAGGGAUCCUUGGACUUCCUAGCGCAUUUUGAACCUUAUUCAUUGUCCCCUUGGCUUGUGAGAAACCAAAGACUCUUGAGAGCUAACUCUACCAGCAACAUGCCAGCUUGACAACUACGAUACUAUCCAGUAAUAAUGACAGUUGAAAUACCUUUACAUAUCAAAUACAAAUAGAUCAACACAUGGCUAGAGCUAUGGAAUACAAUCAAAGCUACAAACUUUAAUUCAAAAUCCGGCUAUUGCCACUAGCAAUAUACAAAAUGAGAGCAUUAGCACAAUUAUCAAUUCCUCGAAUAUAUGGAAAAUCAUGAAUUCAAACUAAAGACGACGAAAACCAUAUAUCAUGCAAUCAACACAGCUUUCACUAGAACCUAUGGCCUAUAAGGCCUCUACAACAGCUAAUUCCCAGCACAGAAAAUUAUCGUAAAUAUUAUUAUAUCUACAGAAUGGUGAGAUAAAGCAGAACACAGAUGGAACUCAAAUGGAAUGGGAUAUUACCUGUUCGGGAGUAGCAAAAUAGGACGACGAGCUCUGUUUAGAAUCGCAACCACCGAAAACUUCUUUACUGUCACCCGAAACUCUAAUUUAGCCGAUGAACAAGAACGGAAUUGCUACUCAAGACUGUAUUUUCUCAAGAAUUUUCUUUCUUUUUUUUUCUUCAUUCUCUCUCUUUCUUAUCUUUUCUCUCAAAUUGUUCGAACCCAAGACUUUUUCCCCUUUUUCCAGACCCAAAAUUUUCCUCCUCAAAAACAAAGAAUGAAAGGACUCUUAUAUAGAAGAUGAAUAGGGGUAUUUUAGGGACUUUAGAAAAUGGGAUAUUUAUUGAAAUUCAAAUUUGAAUCCUUCUACCGCUUGGAUUUCAUCAAUAAAACAUACCCAAUUUUGGAUUAUCUCGAACGACUUUGAUGUGGGUUGUCUAAUGGAAAUUGGAGAAAUGGAAUCCUCCCUCCAACCAAUGGAAUUCACCCAAAUAGGUACCAAUUCGUACCAUUAUCCCGAUAUUUGCGGAGUUGGAUGUUGGAUGAGAUACCUGGACCUAUUCUAGAAGCUUCUCGAAUCUUUUUUGCGAGUCCAUAUGGGUCAAGGUCGACUCAAACGAAACUGGGUUGGCGUCGAACGAUGGGUUGGAGCUAGAUUCGAGUUGGUUAUUUGCCAUGGAUGAUGUUGCUGGUAUCGAAAUCAAUUUUGGGUUGAGGAUGAUGGGUCGAGUUGCAAAAUUGAUGGAGUUAUCUUUGGGAUUGUCGCAAUAUUGUUGCUGUUUUACUAACGAAGGAGCAGAAAAGAGUUCAACAAGGGGUUUGGGCCGAGUCAUGAAAUCUAUAUUGGGCCAGUGAUGCUGGGUCGCUGGGGCUGUAUAAGUUAUUAUUUGGUGGGCCAACUAAAAUUAAAGGGGAAAUGGGUUAAAUUGGGUAAAUUUUGGGCUUAUUAAAGUUGUGGUUGAAUAGGUUUGGACUAUUUAUCAAAUAGCCUAUUGAUAGGAUUUGGUCAAUUGUGUUUAAAUUUUGACCUAAUUGAAGAUUAAUCAGCCAAUUGUGUUGCAAUCGUAGCCAUAUUAACUUCAAUUAACUCUAAUUUAAUAAAUUGAUCAAAUUAAAUAUAGAUUUGAAAAGAAUUUAGUAACUAGUUUGACCCCGAGUUUCUUUGAUUUGAUAAAAUCAAAUAAACAUUUCUCCAAAUAAAUCAUUUUUGAAGUAGAUCAUUUUCAAAUCAAUAUUUUAAUUAUUAUAUCUAUUUUCAAAAUAAUCUUUAAUUAAAAAUCCGAUAUUCCAUAGAAUAAACAUUUAAGUAAUCAACUUGUAUAAUAUCUUAUAAUUGAUCACGACAAUAUAUAAUUGCUACUUAAAGUGAUAAUAUCACGUACAAAUAUACUUUUCAAAAUCUUAUUCGGAUGGAAUAAAUAUUUUGAUUUUAUUAAAAAUCGAAGAAACUUAGGAUUAUAUUUAGUCGUGGAAGGCAAAAAUUAGGUGUCAACAACUGCCCCCUCCCUUUGGGUAGGGUGGAUGUAAGUAACCCUUGGUGAAGGGAGGUUGACGUUCCUAAUUUUUGUCCGACCAUAAUUCGAAUCUGAAAGAGAUUGGCUUUUGCACGAGCUUCACAGGGUCAUGGCCAAACCUCGGUAUUAGGUUUCCUACAUAUCUCAGGUUACAUGAGAAUUCAGGCCACUUGUAUUUCAUAAAGUUUGAUUUAAAACACGACUUUUUAGAAAAUUCACCAACUAUCACGGUUUUAGAGUUUCUGAUAGAACCGAGAAACUGGGGAAUAAAGACAUUAGGGGGAGGUUGGAAUGAAGUCGAGUUUUCUACAUAGAUCCCAUCCUACAUAUCCCUAAGAUUUUAGGGAAUCAGACUGUUUUUAGUUUGACUCAAUCGGUAGAAAAGAUAGUCUUUUAUUUUAGGCCAUCUUUGGCUAGGAAUAAGUGACAAGCUGAUAGAAUUAAGGAAAAGAGGCUUGUAACCUCUUAAUCAUGAGUGUGAGAUCCUUCACACCCAUAAAUAAGAACUUACCCGGACAUAGUUUCCAAACUCUAAGUAUGUUGCCACCCGAAUUUGAAAGAAAGAGAAGGUUACCCUCAGCAUAAGUUUAGAAAUAUCCCAAAGGUGAAGCUGAAACCAAAAUACCCUGAAAUACCCACAUGCCUUCUAACAGGGGUGUGGUUGUAUGGUGGUGGUGAUCACCCUUUAGCUUGCUCCCAAAGAGUUUGAUGUCCCUCUUUAGACUAUGUCCCGUUUUACUGCUAAGAAAGAGUUCCAUAUUGUGCUACGUCCUAUCUGAAGUCGUCCGCACCUGUGGUUUUGAUUUGAGAUUUUCAUCCUCUCGGAUGCUCUCGACAAUGCUUCAAUCGAAAAGUGUUAGUGCUAAAUAUAAUUUAUGAAAGAGGUAUAUAGUCCUUUACCAUAUCUCCUCGUAAGUUAUGGCCGAAAAAGUGGAGUCAUCUCUUCGUCUACCUGUUUGGAAUGAAAUAACUAGCAAUAAAAAACACAACAACCCUCUUGGUUGUUGUAUAAUUAUGACAUUUAUCGAUUUAAUAUGUCUUCAAAGUGGGGUGGCCCUUUUGGACACCGGCGAUACUUUAUGCAGAACAGUCUCUACAACCUUGUAAUAUUGUGCUGGUGUGGCAACCCUUUGGAUACCUAUAUCAUUUGUUGCAUGUGGAAUGAUAACCUCUCUGGUUAUAGCCGAUGAUCGAUUUAUAAAUUUCCUUUAAAUUAUCAAUCUUUGGAUAAUCAUGCACAUUAUUUGAUGUUGGAUACAAGGCGACUUACAGAUAUCCUUUGAAUUUCUAGCUUUUAGGUAAUCCUGCACAUUAUUUGACUUUGGAUAAUAUAUGGCUUACAAAUAUCCCUCCAAUCGCUUGCCUUCAGGUGUUCCUGCACAUCAUCCGACCUUGGAUACAAUAUGACUUAUAGAUAAUCCCUUAAAUUGUUAGUCUUUGGGUAAUCCUGCACAUAAUCGAUCUUGGAUAUGACGCGGCUUAUAGAUAACCCUUAGACAUAUCAAUUUUAUAAUCUUGCAUAUUCUCCGGUAAGGAUUUAGUUGCGACUUAUGGAUAACCUUUGAACUAUUGAUUUUUGGGCGAUCUUGCAGACUAUCCGAUUAGGAUGUUGUUGUGGCUUACGAAUGACCUAUAGGCUAUCAACUCAUAGGUUAUCUUGCACACUAUCUUAUUUCAAAUAAUAUGACUUAUAGAUGACCCUCAAAUUUUUAAUUUCUAGGAAAUCUUAUAUAUCAUUCAUCCUUAGAUAGCGACUUAAAGACGUCCCUUUAAAUCAUGUGCUCUUGAUGCAUUUAGAUGUUGAUUCAUAAAAUGAUGAGAUAUCCUCGAUGCCAGUAUUUAUGUCUUGUAUUUCAACAAAUAUAAAAUGAUGAUGAUAUCCUCGAUUCUAGUGUUGUGUCUAGUGCGUUAACAGAUAUAUUGAAUGAUGACGAUAUCCUCGACGCCAGCAUUAUGUCUAGCGCGUCAACAGAUAUAUUGAAUGCUUAUGAUAUCCUUAACGCCAGCGUUGUGUCUAGCGCGUCAACAGAUAUUGAAUGAUAAUAAUAUCCUCAACGUCAGUGUUCUGUCUAAUGCGUCAACAGAUAUAUUAAAUGAUGAUGAUCUCCUCAAUGUCAGCGUUGUAUCUAGCGUGUCAAUAAAUAUAUUGAAUGCUGAUGAUAUCCUCGAUGCCAGCAUUAUGUCUAGCGCGUCAAUAGAUAUUGAAUGAUGAUGAUAUCCUCGAGGCCAGUAUUAUGUCUAGCACAUCAAUAGAUAUAUUGAAUGAUGAUGAUAUCAUCGACGCCAGCGUUGUGUCUAGCGGGUCAACAGAUAUAUGAAUAGCCUUCUUGGAUGAUGGUAUGAGAUGGCCCUCUUGGCAAUGAUAUUCAAUGGCCCUUGCGGUAAUGAUAUGUGAUGGCCCUUGCGGCAAUGAUAUGUAAUGGCCCUUUCGGCAAUGAUAUAUAAUGGCCCUUUCGGCAAUAAUAUAUAAUGGCCCUUUUGGCAAUGAUAUGUAAUGGCCCUUGCGGCAAUGAUAUGCAAUGGCCCUUGCGGCAAUGAUAUGCAAUGUCCCUUUCAGCAAUGAUAUAUAAUGGCCCUUUCGGCAAUGAUAUGUAAUGGCCCUUGCGGCAAUGAUAUGCAAUGGCCCUUGCGGAAAUAAUAUGUGAUGGCCCUUGCGGCAAUGAUAUGUAAUGGAUCUUUCGGCAAUGAUAUAUAAUGUCCCUUUCGGCAAUGAUAUGUAAUGGCCUUUGCGACAAUAAUAUGCAAUGGCCCUUGCAUCAAUGAUAUGCAAUGGCCCUUGCGGCAAUGAUAUGUAAUGGCCCUUGCGGCAAUUAUAUGCAAUGGCCCUUUCGACAAUUUUUAAAAUAAUUUUACUUGAAUUCAUUUAUCAGCAUCUUGCUUUCUACAUGUACCUGUACUCAAGGUAGUUGAUUAGUAGACACAAAGUUGCUUUUACUAUCGACUAUUUUUAGGAAACUUCUAACUAUAAUAUUGUGAAGAAAACAAGGCACUUUUGUUUGUCGCCCAUGAUCUCAAGAAAUGAGAUGGACAAAUCAAAAGGUCCUCAAUAAAUGGGUAUUAAACCUAUUUUUAGGGCUAUCCUAAAAUACCGUUCUUAGGCUUAAUGCUCUGUUGUGGCUCCCAAUUUGCUCGGGAAUUUUUGAAAGAGACCCUCACUUUUGUGUAUUGAUCCCUGCAUCCACAGAAAAAUGAUUAGUUUGAAUGAAAUUACUCCGUGUUGACCUUCUUCUAUCCUUGAUUUGCUGCUUGCCAUCUCUUGGGCAUUCCGCCAUAUCGGGACUUCCAUCCUGACACUCCAUCCCAAGUGAUGUCUAGGCAAGUACUAAAUAAGUGAGUUGUAAGAUUUUUUUAAAAUAGUCUUAAUUUUUAGAAAAUAAUUUUAAAAGCUUCUGUAAAACUUUAGAAAAUAUCUACCAGUCAUGUCAUGUACUAGCUCAACGAACGUCUUCCUCAUGGUUUUGACUAUAUACGACAGAUGAUUUCCAAAGCUCAUGAUCAUUGUUGGAGGUUUUCUUCAAGUAGUUCUAUUAUAGCAAGAGAUUGGGCUUGCCUAGACUUUGUCACAGCUGACUACUUUAAAAACUUGGCCUUAACCUCUGGUGCUGGGGAAUUUGAAAUAUGUUCCAGUAUCUGGUGGAAAUUUUGAGGUCUUCCCUCAAAAUUUCUACCCCAUUUUAGAGUUGUUUGAGAUGAUACCAACUCGAGUGGAUCUGAAGUCUUUGCUGAUCUUCAUUCUCUUUGUCGGACGUCGAUCUUCUCUUGUGAAUUUUUGAGAUUCCUUCUCGAAAAUUCUGCCCCAGUUUUUAUUUCCUGGGGUUAUAUGACCGAGCCGUUAGGGAUCCUACGUAUCCUGUUGAAGUAGGAAUCAGGUCAAACGUAGUUCUAAACUAUGCUAGGGAUAUACAAAAUAAAUUAAUGGGUUGAUCAAAGUCGACAUAGGCCAUCUACGUAUCCCUUUUAUUGGGAAUUCAGGUCAUCACGUAGUUCAUACAUAAAGAGAAACGAUAAAUUAUCCUAGGGGGUUGACCAAAGCCGACAUAGGCCACCUACAUAUCCCUUUCUUAGGAAUUCAAGUCAAACGUAGUUCGUACAUAGAGGGAAAGGAUUCUAGGAAGUUACAUACUAGAGAACAACAUUACUACGAACGCGAUUACAAGUAAAUUAACUAAAGAAACACGAAAACUAGAACGUCCUUCGAACAUAAUAUCUCUUUACCACAUCAGAAUUGAUUGGUUUGGUCUACUCUUACCAUCCAUCUCAGAAAAAAUUAAAGCUCCUCCAGAUAAUACCUUGCGAACUAUGUAUGUCCCUUGCCAGUUUAGAGCGAACUUGCCCUUGUACUCCUCUUGGUGAGGGAAUAUUCAUUUGAGAACCAGUUGCCCCACUUCAAAUGUUCAAACUCUCACCUUCUUGUUAAAGGCACGAAUUAUCUUGUGUUGAUAUAGCUGACCAUGGCAUACAGCGACCAUUCUCUUUUCAUCAAUCAACAUGAGUUGUUCAUAGCGAGCACGAACCCAUUCUUCGUUACUUAGUCCGGCUUCUUGGAUAAUCCUUAGGGAAGGUAUUUCAACUUCAGCAGGUAUCAUCGCUUCAUUUCCAUAAACCAAUAGAUAUAGGGUUUCCCCGAUGGAGGUUCGAACUAUCGUGCAAUACCCUAGCAAGACGUAAGGUAACAUCUCGUGCCAUGAUCUAUCAUUUUUGACCAUCUUUCUCAGGAACUACUUAAUAUUCUUGUUGGCAACUUCCACGGCUCCAUUCAUUUGAGGACGUUAUGCAGUCGAGUUGCGAUGCACGAUUUUAAACUGAUCACAAAUUUCAUUCAUCAAGUGACUGUUCAAGUUGGCCUCAUUAUCCGUAAUGAUUGAUUCUGGCACUCUAAAUUGGCAAAUCGGGUUAUUCUUGAUGAAAUCUGCAACCACUUUCUUAGUGACAGCUCUGUAUGAAGUAGCUUUAACCCAUUAAGUAAAGUAAUCGAUGGAAACCAAAAUAAACCUAUGACCAUUCGAUGCUAAUGGUUCUAUCGGUCCGAUAACAUCCAUUCCCUAAGCUAUGAAAGACCAAGGGGAACUUAUCGCAUAAAGCUAAUGUGGAGGCAUGCGAAUCAGAUCUCCGUGUAUCUGACAUUUUGGACAUUUCUGUACAUACUUACUACAAUCGUUUUCCAUAGUCAUCUAGAAGUAACCGGUUCUCAGGAUCAUUCUGGCAAGGGCAAACCCAUUCAUGUGGGGACCACAAACUCCAGUGUGUACCUCUUUUAUCAAUUUAUUGGCUUCCGCAGCAUCGACGCAUCUUAGGAAUCCCAAAUCAGGAGUCCUCCUUAUUCCCCACUUGGAAAGUAGUUCUUUGCCAAAUGCCGAAUUGUCUUCUUUUAAUUGUUACUGGCCUCUUCAGGAUAUACUCCAGAUUCCAAAUACCUCUUAAUAUCAUAGUACCAAGUCUUUCCAUCAGGCUCCUCUUCCACGUGCGCACAAUGUGCGAGUUUCUCAUUCAAGCUUAUUUCCAAAGGAUCAAUAUAACUCUAAUCUUGGUGCUGAAUCAUGGAAGAUAUGGUGGCCAAAGUAUCAGCAAACUCAUUUUGUAUCCGUGGGAUAUGUCUGAAAUUAACUUCUUUGAAUCUUUCGCAUAAUUCUUUCACUAGCUCCAUAUAAGGAGUAAUCUUGGGAUUUUUUACUGCCCAUUCUCCCCGUACCUGGUGAUUCAGCAAAUCUGAAUCUUCGAUGACUAAUAAUUCACGAGCACCCAUAUCAAGUGCCAAUUUGAGACCCAAGAUGCAAGCCUUAUUUCAGCUAUGUUAUUGGUGCAUGGGAAACGCAAUUAGCAGUUACCAGAUAAUGUUGGCCCAUCUUUGACACCUAAACUACUCCAAUUCCUGAACCUUUAAAGUUGACCGCCCCAUCAAAGAAUACGAAUAAAAUUUCCUCAUCUAGAAAGUAAGUUCGAAGUGGCUCUUAUUCCUCAUCAACCAGAUUUCUGCCAAAUGAUCCGCUAAAGCUUGCCCCUUGAUUGCCUUUUUGGUUACGUACACAAUGUCAAACUCACUCAGUAAUAUUUGCCACUUGGCUAGCUUUCCUGUAGGCAUGGCCUUCUGAAAUAUAUACUUCAACAGAUCCAUUCUCGGGAUGAGGUAUGUUGUGUAAGACAACAGAUAAUGCCUCAACUUUUGUGCUGCCCAAGUCAAAGCACAACAUGUCUUUUCUACAAGAAUGUAACGGGCUUCAUAUGGUGUGAAUUUUUUACUCAAGUAGUAAAUAGCUUUUUCUUUUCUACCGGUCUCAUCAUGUUGCCCGAGGACAUAUCCAAAAGCAUUUUCUGAGACUGCAUGAUGAAGCAACAAUGGUAUUCCUUCUCUUGGCGGCACUAAAAUCAGCGGUGCAGACAGGUAUUCCUAGAUGCGGUCAAAAGCUCUCUGGCAUUCUUCUGUCCACUCAUUCAAUGCAUUUUUCUUCACAUAUUGAGAAUUGGCUCACGUAUGACUAUUGAUUGAGCGAUGAAUCUGCUAAUGUAAUUCAAAUGACCCAUGAAACUCAUGACUUUCUUCUUGGUCCUCGGCGGUGACAAGUCCUGAAUUGUCUUGAUUUUGGAUGGGUCUAGCUCGAUGCCUCUUCUGCUGACUAUGAACUCCAGUAACUUCCCUGAUGGAACUCCAAAAGAACACUUAGCAGGAUUUAACUUCAAACUGUACUUUCUUAAUUUGUUGAAGAAUUUCUCCAUAUGAGUCAGAUGAUCCGAACUCUCGCGGGAUUUGAUAAUUACAUCAUCCACGUACACCUCAAUCUCUUUAUGAAUCAUAUCAUGGAAAAUCGUUGUCAUAGCCCUCAUCUAUGCUGUACCCGCGUUCUUGAGACCAAACGGCAUUACCCUGUAAUGAUAAACACCCUAGGGCAUAAUAAAAGCUAUUUUUUCUGCAUCUUCCUCAUCCAUCAAUAUCUGAUGAUACCCGGUGAAACAAUCAACGAAUGACUGGAUUUCAUGUUUUUCAAAGUUAUUGAUGAGGAUGUUGAUGUUGGGUAACAGAAAAUUAUCUUUAGGACUGGCUCUAUUCAAGUCUCUAUAGUCAACACAAAUUUGAAUCUUGUCGUCCUUCUUCGGCAUAGGGACGAUGUUGGCCAAUUAUGUCAGAUAUUUUAUGACCUCCACAACCUUAGACUGGAUUUAUUUUGUCACUUUUUCCUUGAUCUUUAGACUUAAAUCUGGCUUGAAUUUCCAUAUUUUUUGCUUGAUUGGAUCAAACUCCGGAUUUAUCGGUAACUUAUGCGACAUAAUACUGGUGCUCAAUCCCGGCAUAUCAUCAUAGGACCAAGCAAACACGUCAAUAUAUUCCCACAAUAGGUAAAUGAGCUCUCUCUUUUGUGCUUCUGCCAGGUGGACACUGACGCUUGUUUCUUUGAUUUCACCAUGAUCUCCUAGGUUGACUGUUUCAGUUUCUUCCAGGUUGGGUUUUUCCCAAUUCUCAAACUCCUCUAUAUCUUCAAUUAUUUGUUCCUCAUCAUUGUCCUUCCAAUCAUCAUCGUUUCCUUCAUUUUUAUUAUUUAAACUUCGACAUAACAUGACAUUAGCAGAUUUUAAGUUGCUGUUACUCUAAGGGACAUACAAACCAAGUUAGAUGAUAACAAGAUAAUAACAAAAUAUAUGACUAGGAGUGUUUUAGAAAUAAUAGAAUUUUCUAAAUAAAUGAAGGCAUUUUCAUUAAAAUUUGAGAGAUAAUUACAAAACCAUGGCUCAUGACUUGUGCAAAUACAAGUCCAUGCCUUUUUUAAAGUAGUAAAAUAUGAAAAGAAAGUUUUGAGAUAUAAAAGGAGGAUCGCGGGGCCUUCUCCGGAUCAUCACCGAUUUUAAAAAUGAUUAGUAAUUGCCCUUUCAUCUACCACAACGGGCGACGGGUUAUGAGUGAAGUGGAGGUCCAGUUUUGCAAGGCCUUCCCUGGCACAAUCGGCUUUACUCCGCUGGACUUUGGGAGAUCUUCUGGUACAACAUUCCAUCCCUCGAACAAAUUUUCUAUCCCAUCCCUAAGACCAUCAUCAUCUGACACCUCUCGUACAGGAAAUGACUGGAAUAGGAGGGGCAAGGGCCUAAACAGACUCUUCUCUGACUCAUCCUCAACCCUAUCCUUCUUGGUAUGCUGAUAUCCUAACCCAUACUUAGAGCCAUUCUCUGGGAUCAAAAUAGGCUCAAUAAUUCCUUGUAGAUCCUUACCUAAACCUCGACCAGGUUCGAACCCAUUUCAUAAUAUCACAGUCGCAAUCAUUUUGUAGACAGAAGGCAUUGGCACUUUGGACGUUGAAUCCCUGUCCACAGUAUUUACAAUUGCUACUGUAUAGAAACUGCUACCUUUUGGAGUAUUUUCAAUCACCGGCACAUAACCAUUGGGACGAUCCGCUCGACUUCCUUCUCCUUGGAUGACUACUUCAUGAUCCUCUCAAAUGAACUUUAAUAAUUGAUGAAGGGGUGACAAAACCGCCUUUGCACCAUAUAUCCAUGGUCUUCCCAAGAUCAAGUUGUAGCUAGGAUGGAUAUCCAUAACAUGAAACUUAGUUUUGAACUCAGCAGGUCCCAUUUGGAUGUACAAAUUAAUUUCUCCUAUGGUAUCUCUUUGCCCUCCAUCGAAUGCUCUCACAUUUACGUGGCUUUGACAAAUUUUCCCCAGAUCAUAGCCCAUUUAAACCAAUGUAGAGAGGGGGAAAAUAUUCAUACCAGAUCUGUCGUCUAUUAAUACCUGAUUAAUCACAUAAUCUCGGUAAACGGCAAUGACAUGCAGGGCUUUGUUAUGCAUCACUCCUUCAAACAACAACUAUUCAUCACUGAAUGAUAUGUGAUGAUUCCCUAUAGUAUUUCUUAUCAUCGCAGCUAGGUUCUAAACACUCGUUCCUACGGGAACAUAUGCUUCAUCCAAAAUCUUCGAUAAAGCUUAUCGGUGGUAUUGCGAACUCAUUAAUAGUGCCAAAAUGGAGAUUUGGGCUGGUGUCUUCUCUAAUGUUUCACCAUUGAGUAAUCUUUUGGUUGCAUAUGCCUCCAAAAUUCCUCAGCCUCUCUUUCAGUGAUUGGCCUUUUCUGUGAAUCUUUUUUAUUCGUCAAUUCCUCAGGGAUAUAGCAUCGUCCCGAUCGCGUCAUCCCUUGGGUAGCAGCGGUCUGUAUAAUGAUUUCCUUCCUUGAUGGGGGAGGUUUUACCUGAAUUGGAGCCAUCAUCACUAUAAAUGGGGCUUUCUCGUUGACACUUAAGGCAGCCACAACCCUCUUUAUCUUUUCUACCUCUUAUGCCCUUUAGGGUUUUUCAGAGUUCACCUCAGUAAUGAUCUUGACAGAUGCCCAUUCACCCUCUAUUUCAAUCAUAUUAACUGUAGGUCCCCCAUGAUUGGGUAAUGGAUUACUGUUAACAUUUGGUGUAGGUGCCUGGGGCAAGAUGACCUUCUGAUCGAUUAAAUCCUGGAUCCUAUGUUUCAGGUAGAUACAAUCCUCAGUAUUGUGCCCCACUGCUCCUAAAUGAUAGGCACAAUGUUGACUUAUAUUAAAAAAUUGAGAGUUGGGAUGGACAGGCCUUGGCUGUAUUUGUUGCAAAUGACCAGCAUUCUUCAAUCUUUCAAAUAAUUGGGUGCGACUUUCAGCUAAUGAGGUGAAGUUUUGGGGAGGUUUAUUUUCAUAGUUUGGACAUAGAGGGUUAUAAUGGCUUUGAUUUAUAGAAGGAGGUACUUGAUGAUAAUUUGGAGGAACUUGGGAAUUUAUUUGGUUAUUUGGAGGAGUGGAUUAGAAAUGAGACUAAUAAUUUGGAUGUGGAAUUGGGUAUUGGGGAAAAAUAUUUGGUUGUAGAGCUUGGUAUGAGGAUUGGGGGCUUGGGAGUGGAGCUUGGUAUUGGGGGGAGAUAUUUGGCUGUGGAGCUUGGUAUUGGGGGCGGGCAUAGAAUACAUGUUGAAGGCUUGGUGAUGGCGGAGAAGAGAAAGCAUUCCUAGAGUUGAACCUCUUUUUUGUUUUCACAACAGAAUCAACAGAAAUCGCACCUACAUCUUCCUUUUUCUUCUUUGAGAACAUGAUAGUCCCAGACGACGUCGGGGUUUUAGCAAUUUUCCCUAUUCGAAUGCCUUUUUCCAAUGAUUCUCCUAUUUUUACCAAGUCUGCAAAAGCUGCCCUGACAGUGGACACCAUCCUGGUAUAAUAUUCUCCUUCUUGAGCGUGAGAGAACACGAAUACCAUUUAUUCCUCAGACAUGGGGGGUUGCACUUUGGUAGCUUCUUUCCUCCAACGAAAAGCAUAGUCUCAAAAACUUUUGUCAUUCUACUGUUUGAUCCGAUCUAGUGAAUAUCGAUCAGGGACUAUUUCAAUGUUGAAUGCGAACCUGUCAAGGAAACCCUUAGCCAAUGCUUUCUAACCAGUCCAUCUUUUCGGCUCCUAAACAUGAACCAUUCUAAGGCUUCGUCGCUUAAACUUCGAUUAAAUAGGCACAUCAACAAUGCCUUAUUUUUCCUUAUCCCUACCAGUUGCUCAUAGUACCUUCUCAGAUAGGCCAUUGGGUUUUCGGUACCGUCAAAUAUUUCAAACUUAGGGACUUUGUACCCAUCUAGUAGGUGUACUCCCGGGUGAACACAUAAGUCAUCAUACCACAAACCGUCGUGGUCCCUGGCUUCAUGAGCCUUUUUGAUCCUCCUAAUCUCUUCCUUUAUAGCUAGCAAAUUUCUUUUAUGCUCGGUCCUCUACUCUCUCUCCUUCUUCUCAUAAUGGUCUAUCUCAAUAUUAGGAAGGGGUUCAUAGAUAUCAGAGAAUAUGAUGGCCUGAGGUAGAUUUGGAAGGGGGGUUUGAUUUUGCGUAUGAAAGGAAUUUGGUUGGUAAGUGCGGAGGACGUUUUGGAAAUGGAAAAGAUUCUGUGGACUUUACGAGUAGUUUGAUGGAAUCUGAGAGGGGUUUUGUGGAUUUGGAAAUGAAUUUGGGGGAUUCAAAGGUAGGUUUGACGUAUUUUGUAGGUUUGAGAGUGAAUCUUGCGAAUUUGGGAAUGCAUUUUGUUGAUUUGAAAACGUGUUUUGAAGAUUUGGGAAUGGAUUCGAAGACGGGUUCUGUGAGGUUAGAGAUGGAUUUUAUGGAUGGUAGGCGUCUGGGUUAUUUUCAUGAUUGGUAUUUUAGACAAAUAGGGGAGAAGAGAUGAACGAUACGUUAUUUGGAUGAUCCCCAAGAGUAGGGGUACUGAGGGGAGGAAUUUGAAGUGUAGUCCCGUUUUCUCCCAGAGCAGGGGCAUUAAUGGUGAUGGCUAAGUUAGCCAAAUCCCGAAUGCAAUUUAUUUUUUCCUGAAGCAUUUAUAACUUUCUCGCAAGUUUCGCAAUCAUCUCAUUCUAUUCCGCUAUCAUAUUUUCCUGGAUAGUCAGUGCGCUUUCUUCGUCAUUUCCUGUCAUUUUUGAAUGAUGGUCAGAGGAUGGGAUUUUGUGCGCUUUCGAUCGGGUGAAGUAGGGAUGUUCUGCCAGCUUAUAUUAACAUGGGGUAACUUCUAUUAUCUGUAAAGUAAAACAACUUAAAGGCAGAUGUGUUAGUUUCCGUAUGUGAUAAGUAAUGCAAAAUAUUUGACAGGAAAUAACCACAUAGAGUUGUUUGAGUCAUAGCCAAAUUCACCCAUAGGACAUAGUGGAUAAACUUGCCUUUGAUCCAAACAAACACACAUAAGCACAUAAAACAUUUAUAUCACACAAAAAUAUUAUAAUAACGCGUAUCCUAGCUGGGGUGACCCUUUUUGAGCCAAGGGUUCAGGCCUAACGAUUUUUGAAGAAAAUAUAUGCUUCCUCGAAGUCAAUCCAUUAACCCCCAACUUAUAUAGACACGAAAAAGAACAUAAAUUCCUACAAAAAAUAACGAAAAAGGGAUACAAUCUUUAGGGAAAAAGGGAAAUAACAUGAAAGAAGAUAAGUUCCCACACAGGGGAAAUAGAAAAACUAGCUACUAGAGGCUCCUUUGUCUGCCUUUGCUUUGUUUGCCUUGUUUACCUCCUGUGCUAUUUGAUACCUAUUGAUGAUAAGAUGAAUCCCGCAUAAUUGUGUCUUACUGUCGUAAGUCAUUUUCCCUAUACUAUCAAGUUGAGAGGCCAUGCUAUCAUCCAAAUUGAUUAAACACUGCCUAGCAUCAUCAGCCUCUUGCCUAGCUCUUUUCAGCUCUUCCCUCAACAUACGUAUUGUUAAAUCAUCCUCUAUGUAUACCUGCCGGUGUGUAAUUUCACUUUUUUGGAACUCAUCUUGUAGCCUGUGGAGCCAAACUUGAUGCUCGGAUUCUACAUCCACAACUCGAGUGGGCACAUUUGGUCUCGGAAUCAAUGCUCCGGCGAGGCUCUUUUUCAACCACUCCUUGUAAGUGUCGCUAACUUCAGGGUCAUACUCUUUAUGAAAAGUCACUUCCGUCCCCCUUCUUCUUCUCCAUCCAUUUAUCAUGCCAUCUUUGAGCGGAGACUCACUUUCAUCGUAUUUGGUGAAAAACCUAAGCAUGGAAUCUAUUUGUGGUGCCUUCUGCUUGAUCUCGAAUUGCCUAAGAACUCUACCAGGAUUGUAGGGACGGGUCCCUCUGAGACCAAGAAGAACUAGGAAAGGCCACUUUCCCCCUCGAAUGGUGUAUUUCCCUGAACGAAGAGAGUUAAUGGACCAUUGCACAUCGUCAUCUCUUAAUUCCCCGAAAGUCUUAAACCAAAAUUCGUGAGAUGCUUCCCUUUUGAACUUGUGUAGAAACAACCACAUGUCGUGCGAAGCCAACAUAUCCACCCUUGUUUUAUGAUCAGGUUGUACCAUUCUCGAAUCCUUUACCAAAUGCUUCAUCAUCCACCAUUGUAAUAUGAGGUUGCAACCUUGAAAGAAAUGAUUUUUUACUUGACACCUUCCCAAGGCUCGAUAUAUGUCAGGGACAGUCAUGGGAGCUAAAUUGUGGAAUACCUUGUUAGAAUCGUAAUCUACUCCAAAGAAAAGUGCAUGAGCCACCGUAAUAACCCUUGGAUGAAUUAUGCCAUUUUCCCCCUGUGGGAACACCAUGGUUCCGAGUAGACCUACCGCAAACACAAAGGCUCUCAUCUCUUUCCAUUUUGCUUCAGACUCAAAUUUAUGUCCAAAUUUGUGGAAGGCAUUGAAUCUUCCAAACUGAUGAUACAAAUCUCGAAAAGUGAUAUUUGCUCCUCACGUUCCCCUAGCCAGGUGUUAGGCUUCUAAACCCAAACCAUCGACCCUGUCCUAAUCUAGUUGGGUUUUUGACCCAUUUUCACCUGCCCUAAUCUAGUUUCCGAGCGUUUGGCUCGAAUCUCGCUCCACCUGUAUUAAAUUUACAACUUUGGCUUCGAGGCCCAAAUGAAUGAAUAAAUAAAUAAACAAAAUAAACAAAGACGACAAUGCUUAAAAAAAUGAGACUUUGAAUUUCUUAGCCACUCCAAAUGUAGGACUUUAAUUCGUUUCCUUUCCUCACGUCUUCUCGUAUCCAUACGCCAAACGAUGGGCUUUUGAACCUUCUCUUGAGCAUAGUUCAACGAGGUGGACCUCUUGGGCCCAUUAAGGAAUGGAAAGGGAAAGAGUCCAUUUAGGAAUCCAAGGUAGAUUCAUGCAAAGCAAGAAAAUAAAGAACAUAUUAAUACAUGAUCAACUAAAGAGGCAAGAAAACAUGAAGGAAAUUUGUACAUAUUCACUACAUAAGUAAAGAAACAGGGGU